AGAAAGCAUUGGAUCAUUGUGAGUCACCACGUGGAUCGGAGAACCAAGCGGGUCCUCUGCAAGAACAGAAAUAGUUGCUGUUUGGGGCCCGGAUAGGUGGCCCAUACAGUGCCUGCUGGCCAAGCAUGAGGACCUGAGUUUGAUCCCUAGAACCCGGAUAAAGCCAGAUGUGGUAACACACAUCUGUACUCCCAGCGCUUCCUCUGAGGAGCAGGCAGGCCUGCAGCCAGAAGCAUCUACACUAGCCCUUAUCUGGAGAGAUUAAACAGAGCUGAGUUCCUGAGCUGGUGAACCAGGAUUCAUAUUUACAGAAUGCUUCUUGGAACUGGCUGAUGCGAGCGCUGUGGAUAUAAGGAAAAGACAUGUUCCUUGGCAACCAAAGGCCUCAGAUUACAGCAAGAAGCAGGGGAUGAAGGAACGGUAGAAGAGAGACUAUGUUCAAUGGACUGACUG